GAGCAUGGAGCCUGCUUCUCCCUCUGCCUGUGUUUCUGCCUCUCUCUCUCUCUCUCUCUCUCUCUCUCUCUCUCUGUGACUAUCACAAAUAAAUAAAAAUAAAAAAAAUAAAUGUCAAUGAUAAUUUAACCUAGAUCUCAUCCUGGGCCUUAGAUACACUGUACACUUAUAUUCUAUCUCCUCCAUUUGGACGUCCCCCAGCUACCUUACAUCCAAUACUUUUGGAAUUUUCUUCCAAAAAUUGUUCCUCAUAUUGUACACUCCUAGGGAUGUCAUGGGAGAAAACAGUGAGUGAAUCUGGAUGACUAUUUUCCUGUAAUAUUUCUUCAGUCACCCAGUCCCACAGUGUCUCCCUCCUCAAUAUGGCUCACAAGGGUUCUUUGGUUUCUGUAUUUUUGCUAUUACUUUUGUUUAUGAGCAUAUCAUGUCUCUUGGAUUACUGUUAUAGCUUUGUGUUUGUGUGUGUAAGUUUCUCAUUUCAUUUGUUUACAACACUUUAUCACUAAAACAAAUGUUUGUCCCUCCCUCCCUCCCUCCUAUUUAUUUAUUUAUUUAUUUAUUUAUUUAUUUAUUUAUUUAUUUAUUUAUUUAUUUAUUUAUUUAUUAUAGUAGGGAGCAAGAGGGGCAGAGGGGGAGAGAGAGAAUUCCAAGCAGGCUCCACGCCCUGAACAGAGCCAAUGCAGAGCUUGAUGUGGGACUUGAUCCCAUGACCCUGAGAUCAUGACCUGAGCUGAAAUCAAGUGUUGAGUGCUCAAGUACCUGAGGCAACCAGCCACCCCAAGUGUACUUUCUUAGGAUAUGCUGUCUCUUAACUUCUGACUUCUCACAGUUGUGCAUGACCUAGAAGUUUAAUCGAUGCUUGUUGAAAGACCUGAAUACAUACCCCAUACUGGUAAUGUGGGCUGAGUGAGAAUUAGGAAAUUCCAAAGGAGUCAAACACAUAUGGAGAUAAAUGUUAUGAUCCACUGGAGAAGUUGAAUUGAAAUCCUUGGUCACUGUGCCUUCCCCACUGUGCCUCAGUCAAGAGAACAUAUCCCGAGUCAAGGCUAUGGGACAGAUACUUUUCUGGAGGGUUCUGCUAAAGGAGAUACACUUUUAAAAUUUUUAUUAUUUUUUAUUUUUCUAGAGAGAGACAGUGAGUGUGUGUGAGCAGGGUGUGGAGAGGAGGAGCAGUGGGAGAGGGAGAGAGAGAAACCCAAGCAGACUCUACACUCAGUGCAGAGCCCAACAUGGGGUUCAAUCCCAGCCAGGCUCCUGAGAUCAUGAUCUGAGCUGAAACCAAGAGUCAACUUAACUGACUGAGCCACCCAGGUACCCCUAAAGGAGAGACUCUUAAGGGUAUAUUCUCUUUUAGAACAAAGCCAUGGAGUGAGUGAGCCAGAGACCUUAUUCAGCUGCUUUUUUUUUUUUCUACAGAUUUUAUUUAUUUGAUAGAGAAAGAGAAUGAGAGAGGAAACAAGCAUGGAGAGAGGGAGCAAAAGAGGGAGAAGCAGACACCCCGCUGAGCAGGGAGCCAGACGUAGGGCUUGAUCCCAGGACUCUGGGAUCAUGACCUGAGCCAAAGGUAGAGGCUUAAGUGAGCCAUCCAGGUGCCCCAGCUGCUUUUGUUAUAGAAGGGAGAACACAGCUCCUGGAUUGGGACCUCUGCAGGGAAUGGGAAAUGUGUCUUGCACAGAGACUCUUUAGUGCCAGGGGUUGGGUGUCAGCAGUUGUGCAGUAUGCGAAAGAGCUCUUUGCAAGCUGCAGCUUGGCAAGAGAGGUUAUAAGCAUAUAGUGAGGGGCCCCUGACACUCUGUGUCAUAGGAGAGAAGCACAAUACAGUGACAGUGGCACGGAACCACACUGACUAUGAGCAGUGAUUGACUUGACCACUAGUAGCACUGCAGAGGCCACUGUAUCUGGAUGAACUGUUUUCUGGUGCCUGGGGUGCUGCACUAGUGUUGGUCCUACUUUCACUUACACAGGGUGGGGAGGAGGAGAGUAUUGGGGCGUUGAACUCAACCAUAGCCCAUGGCCAAAUGAUAAAGAGAAUUAGAAGAGAACCUCAGCACCGCCCCCCCACCCCCCACCAGGAAUUCUCAAGAAAAUGCCAAUAGAGCACAAAAAGGACUUUCUAGAGCCGAUAGACAUGAUUAUCUAAGUAAAAAUGCAAUAGGGAAACAGAGGAUGAUCACUGCUGAGACCUAAACUAAUGGUCUGAAAAUACAGAAAAAUUAUAGAUACCUAUAAAAACAUAGAAAUAAAAAUGAGAGAAAGACAAGAUUAGGAGAACAGAUCUAGGAAAUCUAAUAUACAGAACUUAGACCACU
rnacentral:lncRNA from 1 species